GGGGAAUAUUGGACAAUGGGCGAAAGCCUGAUCCAGCAAUGCCGCGUGAGUGAUGAAGGCCCUAGGGUUGUAAAGCUCUUUUACCCGGGAAGAUAAUGACUGUACCGGGAGAAUAAGCCCCGGCUAACUCCGUGCCAGCAGCCGCGGUAAUACGGAGGGGGCUAGCGUUGUUCGGAAUUACUGGGCGUAAAGCGCGCGUAGGCGGCUUUGUAAGUUAGAGGUGAAAGCCCGGGGCUCAACCCCGGAAAUGCCUUUAAGACUGCAUCGCUUGAAUCCAGGAGAGGUGAGUGGAAUUCCGAGUGUAGAGGUGAAAUUCGUAGAUAUUCGGAAGAACACCAGUGGCGAAGGCGGCUCACUGGCCUGGUAUUGACGCUGAGGUGCGAAAGCGUGGGGAGCAAACA
rnacentral:rRNA from 1 species